CACGUAGGGCGCAAGCGUUGUCCGGAAUUAUUGGGCGUAAAGAGCUCGUAGGCGGUCUGUUACGUCUGCUGUGAAAACCCGGGGCUUAACCCUGGGCUUGCAGUGGAUACGGGCAGACUAGAGGCAGGUAGGGGAGAAUGGAAUUCCCGGUGUAGCGGUGAAAUGCGCAGAUAUCGGGAGGAACACCGAUGGCGAAGGCAGGUCUCUGGGCAUUAACUGACGCUGAGGAGCGAAAGCAUGGGGAGCGAACAGG
rnacentral:rRNA from 1 species